ACACAGUCUCUUCAGAGAAAAAUAUAACAAUCAAAAUAUAUUAAAGAAGGCCUAAAUAAAUUGGGAGGCAUAUCACAUUUAUGAAUUAGAAAAAAUAUUCUAAAGAUAUCAAAUCUAACCAAGUUGAUCUAUUGAUUAAUACAAUUAAUUUUCCCACCACAUUGACCACGAAUCUCUGUCAAACUUUCCUUUUUUUAAUUACAAAAGAAAAAUGUUUUUUUCAAAGUAGAAAAUAAAAAGGAGAAAUUUUAAAUGUUCGGGUAUUUCCACUCUCAGUUAUAACCUUAUUUUAAAUAUUUUUUUCAAUAUAUUAGGUUGGUACAAAAGUAAUUGCAGUUUUUGCCAUUAAAGACAAAGCCUAAUAUUUGCAUUAGCCUAAUGUUAUAUGUGUCUCUGUAUGUAUGUGUUGUUGUGUGUGUGUGUGUGUGUGUGUAUAGGCUCUGUGGUGGUCUUAAAAUAUGUCCACAAAUUUUCUGACACUCCUCUCUUCAAGAAGUGGAGCUUAACUCCCUUUCCUUUGAGUGCAGGUAGUAUUUAGUGACCUACUUUCAAUGAACAGCAUAUGACAGAAGUGAUGUGUGUACAAUCUGAUACUAAGUCAUAUUCAUUGUGGAUUCUGCCUUGUUCUCUUUCAGACAACUCACUUUGGGAGAAACCAACCGCUAUGUCAUGAGGAAAUUCAAACUACCUAUGGAGAGAGGCCCACGUGUUGAGGAAGUAGAGCCUCUUCCCAAUACCACAUGAGUGAGAAAUACUAAAAGGGGAUCCUCUAGCCCCAAUCAAGUUUUCAUAUGACUGCAGCCCCUGCCAGCAUCCUAACUGCAACCUCAUAAAAGACCAUAGCAACGGCCAGGUGUGGUGGCUUAUGCCUGUAAUGUCAGCAUUUUGGGAGGCUGAGGCAGGCGGAUCAGCUGAGAUGGGAUUCAUUCAUUACCUGAAUCAUCUGGAUCCCAAGAAUUGGAUUAGUGGCUCACAACACUCCAUCUUUUGGGACAGGAGAGAGGGUGUCUAUUUCCUGUGGCUACAUUUUGCAGUAAGAUUACAUGACUCUUAUUUGAUCUUUCUCAUUAUUUUUUUUCAGGGCGUAAAUUGUGUCCCAAUUCUGAUACCCAAUAAUGGUGAUCUUACCUCAUUUGGGGUAGGUUGAAGUUGAUAUUCAUUAGGACUUGAAGGAGCAUAUUUUUCUACUUAGUGGAAACCUCAGAAAGUAAGUAAUUGUGUUUAACCUGACAAGAGCUUUAACAAGGAAGAUGCCUACAUCACAAGAUCUCCUUCCUGUGGUAAUAUGCAUAGAGUCUUCCACGAAGAGAUAGACAGAGAUGCCUGCGAUAAGUGGCUUAAGAAAGGAUAACCAGGAAUACCACUGGUAGAUUUCAUCUGCACCUUAUGAGGACAGAUUGUACACGGUGCUGUUGGAUGAUCUCAGACCAUAAAAAGAUUUCCUGAGAGAUUGUUAUAAUAUUGGGAUAAAAAC
rnacentral:lncRNA from 1 species